GCCCGCCUCGAAUGUCCCUGAGACCCAGAAGGGCCUGCGCUCAGCUGCUCUGGCACCCCGCUGCAGGGAUGGCCUCCUGGGCUAAGGGCAGGAGCUACCUGGCGCCUGGUUUGCUGCAGGGCCAAGUGGCCAUCGUCACCGGCGGGGCCACGGGCAUCGGAAAAGCCAUCGUGAAGGAGCUCCUGGAGCUGGGGAGUAAUGUGGUCAUUGCAUCCCGUAAGUUGGAGAGAUUGAAGUCUGCGGCAGAUGAACUGCAGGCCAACCUACCUCCCACAAAGCAGGCACGAGUCAUUCCCAUACAAUGCAACAUCCGGAAUGAGGAGGAGGUGAAUAAUUUGGUCAAAUCUACCUUAGAUACUUUUGGUAAGAUCAAUUUCUUGGUGAACAAUGGAGGAGGCCAGUUUCUUUCCCCUGCUGAACACAUCAGUUCUAAGGGAUGGCACGCUGUGCUUGAGACCAACCUGACGGGUACCUUCUACAUGUGCAAAGCAGUUUACAGCUCCUGGAUGAAAGAGCAUGGAGGAUCUAUCGUCAAUAUCAUUGUCCCUACUAAAGCUGGAUUUCCAUUAGCUGUGCAUUCUGGAGCUGCAAGAGCAGGUGUUUACAACCUCACCAAAUCUUUAGCUUUGGAAUGGGCCUGCAGUGGAAUACGGAUCAAUUGUGUUGCCCCUGGAGUUAUUUAUUCCCAGACUGCUGUGGAGAACUAUGGUUCCUGGGGACAAAGCUUCUUUGAAGGGUCUUUUCAGAAAAUCCCCGCUAAACGAAUUGGUGUUCCUGAGGAGGUCUCCUCUGUGGUCUGCUUCCUACUGUCUCCUGCAGCUUCCUUCAUCACUGGACAGUCGGUGGAUGUGGAUGGGGGCCGGAGUCUCUAUACUCACUCGUAUGAGGUACCAGAUCAUGACAACUGGCCCAAGGGAGCAGGGGACCUUUCUGUUGUCAAAAAGAUGAAGGAGACCUUUAAGGAGAAAGCUAAGCUCUGAGCUGAGGAAACAAGGUGUCCUCCAUCCCCCAGUGCCUUCACAUCUUGAGGAUAUGCUUCUGUACUUUUUAAAAGCUUAUAGUUGCAAAGAAGGCAUCUAUUGAAAUAAGACCAACCAGCAGGAAGAUUCUAAACCGUAUUCAAGAAAGGUAUGCUACAUCAAAACUAGCAAUUAUUGAGCCCAAAAUGAAUUAUUUGGAUGGGGGUAACAUGGGGAAGAGUGAGCUGACUACAUAUAAAAUUUACUGGGGAGAAACAGGAGGGAGUUUGCACUGAGCCUCCUGUAGUUUAUGGUGGUUCAUGAGUGUGGCAGAGAGAGUGGAAGACCAGGUCCCAAAUAGAAUAUAUGUUUGAUGGUGUAAAGCUAUUGCCUUCUGACCUGGAUUCUGCUCUGCAGGCCCUAGGAAGACCCCUGUACCCCUGGUCAGCCUCCCAUGCUGGGUUAGCAUUACCAGUUAGUCAGCUCUAGCAUAAGCCAACUGGGUCAACGGAGGGUUGCAAGAAAUGGACAAUGUCAUCCAAUUAUUCUAUAGCAUUGUUGUACCUGAGUUCAUAUGCUUUGAGUGGGGAAAUUAUAUCCAGUUGGUAAAUUUGGAAAAAAACUCAAACAAAUCAGCAAAGUAAAAACAAUAUUCCUUGUUUCUCUUGCAUAUUUUGGACCAUUUGGCUUUUGUUUUCAUUUCUCUGGACUGAGUUACAAGUUUAGUCAGAGUUUGUAGUUCUAAGUAUGACUCAACAGAGUCAGCUUUUUCAAAUGCAAAUGAUUAUCAUGGACUUAAAUAGCAAGGAUUUGAAGAAAAAGAGUCAUUUCUGUAAGUGAUUCACAGUAGAUGUAAGUUAGAAUUUCUUACCCUGUAAUUUUACCUUCUGCAUGAAAAGCUGUCUAUCAAAGGCUAUUUUGUUAGAUGUCUGGCUUCCUGUUCUCAGAUGAACCAAGAAGAGAGGAACAGCCUAUUUCUGGUUUUACUGAAGCCUUUUAAAAAUCCUUGAUGAUUUAAGAAAUACAAAAAUACGGAGAAGUAGAGAGGUUCAAUUAGAGUUUAUAGUAAAAGAUGAGGAGGAAGAUAAAGUCCUCAGGUAGGUAAGACUUGCUGCGAGAUUUAGCUGUGAGACAUUGAAUCUGGAUUAGUUUCAAUGGGAUUGAUUGUGAAGUGGAGGUAGGCUGGUAUGGACAUUAGGGGAAUUGGGGUAAAUGGAUGCUUUUAUCCAAUUCUUUUCAUUUCCCUUUCUUUCUUUCUUUCUUUCUCUUUCUUUCUUUCUUUCUUUCUUUCUUUCUUUCUUUCUUUCUUUUCUUCUUCCUUCCUUCCUUGUUCCUUUCUUUCUUUUCUUCCUUCUUUCCUUCUUUUCUUUCCUUCUUUCUUUCCUUCCUUCCUUCCCUCCCUCCCUCUUUCCUUCCUUCCUUCUUUCUUUUCUUUUCCCUUCCUUCCUUUCUCUCUUUCUUUCUCUUUCUUUCUUUCUUUCUCUUUCUUUCUUUCUUUCUCUCUUUCUUUCUUUUUCUUUCUUUCUUUUCUUUCUUUCUUCCUUUCUUCCUUUCUUCCUUUCUCACUCUGUUGCCCAGGCUGCAGUGCAGUGGUACAAUCUCAGCUCACUGCAACCUCUGCCUCUUGGCUUGAAGCAAUUCUCCUGUCUCAGCCUCCCAAGUAGCUGGGUUUACAGGCGCCCACCACCAUGCCCAGCUAAUUUUUGUAUUUUUAGUAGAGAUGAGGUUUCACCGUGUUGGCCAGGCUGGUCUCGAACUCCUGACCUCAGGUGAUCUGCCUGCCUCAGCCUCCCAAACUGCUGGGAUUAUAGGCGUGAACCACCAUGUCUGGCCUAUGCAACUCUUUCUAACGCGUUGUUACCAUUUUACUUGGAGGAAUGAAACAGAAGACAGAUAUUUCAGUGAGAUACAGAGCAGAUGUUUUGAUGAGCAAGCAAAUGAGAGAGAGAGAGCAGGGACAGAGUGUGUGUGUGUGUGUGUGUGUGUGUGUGUGUGUGUGUGAGAGAGAGAGAGAGAGAGAGAGAGAGAGAAUGGGCCUCAUAGUGGGCUUGUGUGUUCAAAUUGGAAUGCCGAAAUAAAUUGCCCACAGAAUUAAUUAAACUAUGGAAUCAAAACAUCUGUAAUCCUAGCACUUUGGAAGGCCAAGGCAGGCAGAUCACCUGAGGUCAAGAGUUCAAGACCAGCCUGGCCAACAUGGUGAAACCUUCUCUCUACUAAAAAAAAAAAAAGAAAGAAAGAAAUACAAAAAUUAGCCAGUUGUGGUGGUGCAUGCUAAUAAUCCCAGCUACUUAGCAGGCUGAGGCACAAGAAUCGCUUGAACCUGGGGGCGGAGGUUGCAGUGAGCUGAGAUUGUGCCACUACACUCCAGCUUGGGUGACAGGGCGAGACCCCGUCUCAAAAAAAAAAAUUGCAAAAUAUUUUGGGUAACAAUAGCUAGCAUUUAUUAGGUGAUUACUAUAUGCCUGACACUGCUAAGCCCUUUCCAUGCAUUAUCUCAUUUUAGCCUUACAAAAACUCUGUGAGGUAGUUUCAUUAUUACCAGCAUUUUACAGUUGAGGAAACUGGCAUGAACAGGUCAAGAAACUUGUUCAAGAUCUCAGCACAUGGCAGAAGUGGCAUUGGAACCAAAGGAGUUUGGCUUCAGAGCCCCGACCCCUGCCCUGUACUGAGAGAGACAGACCAGCACCAAGGACAAUGAAGAGAUUAUUUUGAAAAUUUUUAAUGGAAUUUCUCAAACACAGGCUAAAGAGAAUAGUGUAAUAGUACCCAUCACCCCCAAUAAUCUAUAUUUUUACAAAUUUGUCUAUCUGUCCCCCUUGAUUUAUAAGUAUUUUAGAACAAAUUUGAAACCUAAAUCUUCUUUAUAACCUUUUAACCUGUCAUUUCAGAGCAAGCAGUAAUUUUAAGGUGGUUGAAAAUAUGAAUGUGAACACAAAGAUGGGGCUCACAGUGGGAGACUGGUCCACCAUGAUAGCAUAUGAGAAGCCCAUGUGACCACCAUGAGCAUGUGCACCGACCACAGGCCAUAAGAGAUACGACUCAGCCAUAGGCUACAAACAUUUGGUUUGCUUGGCAUGCACAUUCCUCUCUUGUAAAAUGAUGCAUGAGACUCUCAGAGCUAAAUUCAUUAAACCAUCUCCUUUUCCUCUGAAUCCCUGUCAAAAACAAAUCUAAAACUUUGAUUUGCUGUGCAACUUUGCCUGAAGGGAAAUACUGGACUAUUCUGGCCCUAGGCAUUUUCAGCCAUGCUGGGAGUUUUGUGUUAGUCUAGGCUGUGUAUUUCAGCUUCUGGCGAGUUUGUGAGCAUGACUUAGCAUCCUUGUAUUUUGAGAACUCUGGAAAGAGGGAUAACAAGUUUGUGUUUCUAGUUCUUCAAGCCCAAGGGCCAGCCUGGAGGCAGGGGGAGGUGCAUAAGCACCUUCUGCCUUGUGUUUAUCAUUUUGCCUUUGUCGUCCUAACUCAGCAGCCUCAAUCCUUCUUUUGAGAUGGAGUCUCACUCUCUCGCCAGGCGGAGUGCAGUGGCGUGAUCUCAGCUCACUGCAACCUCUACCUCCCAGGUUCAAGCAAUUCGCCUGCCUCAGCCUCCUGAGUAGCUGGGACUACAGAAGCGCGCCACCACGCCCAGCUAAUUUUUGUAUUUUUAAUAGAGACAGGGUUUCACCAUGUUGGCGACGAUGGUCUCAAUCUCUUGACCUCGUGAUCUGCCUGCCUCAGCCUCCCAAAGUGCUGGGAUUACAGGCGUGAGCCACCACGCCUGGCCAGCCUCAAUCCUUCUUUACAUCUGCUGCCAUCAAGCUGCUUUCAUCCUUUUAUUUUACAGGAAAUUAUUUAUUUCCUUUUAAAUAAAUAAAUAAAGAUGAAUAUAACAUC